CUCCAAAUGUGACUACUCCUCCUUCUUUUGAUUUCAAGGUGACGAAGAGACUCUUGUCACCGGUCAUAUGCCUUGAGCAACUACUAUCAAGAUACCACAUUCUCUUUCUAUUUCCGGCUACAAGGCAUACCUGCAAAAUAAUCAAGUGAUGCUCUUAGGUACCCAAGUCUUCUUGGGUCCUUCUUGGUUAGUAUAGUUGGUUCCCUUAGGCACCCACACUUUAGUUAUGUUUUUACCUCUUACAAAUGUACUCUUGUUAGUUUGAAUCUUUCUUUGAAUGCAAGAGUAGGCUUUAUGUCCACUUUUUCCACAAUGAAAGCAUGUAGGUUUUUCAGAUUUGACAUCUUUUGCUUUCACAAAGAAAUUCUUUAGAUACUUUUAUUGUUUGCUAGUUUUAUAUCCUAGACCGGCUUUAUUAAAAACAGCUCUUUGAUUGGAUAGAAUAAGAUUUAACUUUUCAGAGCUAUGUGUAAAUUUUUCAACAAUUGGUUUGUACUUAUGUACCUC
rnacentral:lncRNA from 1 species